rnacentral:rRNA from 1 species
GGACGAGCUAACUGAAAGAAUACAUAAUCUAAAGUUAGGAAUCUUAUAAUUUUUAUUAUAAGUUUAAAGACGAAUCUAACUAACAGUGUCGUCCAAAUUCUGGUGCCAGAAGACUCGGUAAUACCAGAGACGCGAACGUUAAUCAUCUUGAAUGGGCAUAAAGGGUUUGUAGGCGGCUUAUUUAUUAAUAGGCUAGAAUCUUAGAGAGGUUAAUAAAAUACUUAGAGGAGGGCUGAUAUCCUUAGAUCCUAAGUGGAAUCCUAAUUGCGAAGGCCAUUUUCCACUACAGAUUGACGCUGAGACACGAAGGUUAGGAUAGGAACUAGGAUUAGAGACCCUAUUACCCCUAACUGUAAACGAUGAAUGGCAGAUAUUUACAACUGUAAGUGUCGAAGUGAAUACGAUAACCAUUCCGCCUUGCCAGUAUACUUGCAAAAGUGAAAACAAAAAAAUUAGUCGGUCCUAAAGCAAACGAAGUGAAGCAUGUUAUUUAAUUCGGUAAUCCGC